AUGACAGCCCCUCCGUUGCCGAAUGAUGACUUUCUUGAGUGGUGGCCGGCGUCUCAUGGUGCUACGCCGGCAGGGCGACAGGUUGGCAUAUCCUCACUGAUCAUCGUCACAUCCUGGCUCCUGUGGAAGGCUCGAAAUGCAUGUGUUUUCGACACUGAGCAGCCGUCGAUCCUGCGGGUGCUCAAUAGCAUUCGCACAUAGGCGAGGACUUGGGCAGCUGCUGGGGCUACUGGGUUAGAAAACAUGAUCCCUGAGACGAAGGCCAUGCGUUUGAGGACGGUCAAUUAG
rnacentral:rRNA from 1 species